UACGUAGGGUGCGAGCGUUAAUCGGAAUUACUGGGCGUAAAGUGUGCGCAGGCGGCCGCGCAAGUCGGGUGUGAAAGCCCCGGGCUUAACUUGGGAAUUGCGCUCGAAACUACGUGGCUAGAGUGUGGCAGAGGGAGGUGGAAUUCCACGUGUAGCGGUGAAAUGCGUAGAGAUGUGGAGGAACACCGAUGGCGAAGGCAGCCUCCUGGGCCAACACUGACGCUCAGGCACGAAAGCGUGGGGAGCAAACAGG
rnacentral:rRNA from 1 species